rnacentral:rRNA from 1 species
UACGUAGGGACCGAGCGUUGUCCGGAAUCAUUGGGCGUAAAGAGCGUGUAGGCGGCCUUUUAAGUCCUGCGUGAAAUCCUGCGGCUCAACCGCAGACGGUCGUGGGAAACUGGAAGGCUAGAGUGCGGGAGAGGAGAGUGGAAUUCCCGGUGUAGCGGUGAAAUGCGCAGAUAUCAGGAGGAACACCUAUAGCGAAGGCAGCUCGCUGGGACGACACUGACGCUGAGACGCGAAAGCGUGGGGAGCGAACAGG